UAUACCGUAGCUUGCUACACCAUAGACUGUGAGUUGCGAACGGGUGAGUAACGCGUAGGUAACCUGCCUAUUAGAGGGGGAUAACUAUUGGAAACGAUAGCUAAUACCGCAUAACAGUAUGUAACACAUGUUAGAUGCUUGAAAGAUGCAAUUGCAUCGCUAGUAGAUGGACCUGCGUUGUAUUAGCUAGUAGGUAGGGUAAAGGCCUACCUAGGCAACGAUACAUAGCCGACCUGAGAGGGUGAUCGGCCACACUGGGACUGAGACACGGCCCAGACUCCUACGGGAGGCAGCAGUAGGGAAUCUUCGGCAAUGGGGGGAACCCUGACCGAGCAACGCCGCGUGAGUGAAGAAGGUUUUCGGAUCGUAAAGCUCUGUUGUUAAGGAAGAACGAGUGUGAGAAUGGAAAGUUCAUGCUGUGACUCUACUAACCAGA
rnacentral:rRNA from 1 species